AGGUUAAGUGAAUAAGGGCGCACGGUGGAUGCCUUGGCACUAGGAGCCGAUGAAGGACGGGACUAACACCGAUAUGCUUUGGGGAGCUGUACGUAAGCUAUGAUCCAGAGAUUUCCGAAUGGGGAACCCAGCAUCUUUAAUAGGAUGUUACGAUUGUGUGAAUACAUAGCACAUUCGAGGUAGACGCAGAGAACUGAAACAUCUAAGUACCUGCAGGAAGAGAAAGAAAAUUCGAUUCCCUGAGUAGCGGCGAGCGAAACGGGAAAAGCCCAAACCAACAAGCUUGCUUGUUGGGGUUGUAGGACUCCAAUAUGGUCGUUCUUUCAGAUAGUCGAAUGACUUGGAAAAGUCAGUCAAAGAGGGUAAAAACCCCGUAGACGAAAUGUGGAAGACACCUAGGAGGAUCCUGAGUACGGCGGAACACGAGAAAUUCCGUCGGAAUCCGGGAGGACCAUCUCCCAAGGCUAAAUACUCCCUAGUGACCGAUAGUGAACCAGUACCGUGAGGGAAAGGUGAAAAGCACCCCGGAAGGGGAGUGAAAUAGAACCUGAAACCGUGUGCCUACAACAAGUCAAAGCCCGUUAAUGGGUGAUGGCGUGCCUUUUGUAGAAUGAACCGGCGAGUUACGAUUGCAUGCGAGGUUAAGUUGAAGAGACGGAGCCGCAGCGAAAGCGAGUCUGAAUAGGGCGUUUGAGUAUGUAGUCGUAGACCCGAAACCAUGUGAUCUACCCAUGUCCAGGUUGAAGGUGCGGUAAAACGCACUGGAGGACCGAACCCACGUACGUUGAAAAGUGCGGGGAUGAGGUGUGGGUAGCGGAGAAAUUCCAAACGAACUUGGAGAUAGCUGGUUCUCUCCGAAAUAGCUUUAGGGCUAGCCUCGGAAUUGAGAAUGAUGGAGGUAGAGCACUGUUUGGACUAGGGGCCCAUCUCGGGUUACCGAAUUCAGAUAAACUCCGAAUGCCAUUCAUUCAUAUCCGGGAGUCAGACUGUGAGUGAUAAGAUCCAUAGUCGAAAGGGAAACAGCCCAGACCACCAGCUAAGGUCCCAAAAUAUAUGUUAAGUGGAAAAGGAUGUGGGGUUGCACAGACAACUAGGAUGUUGGCUUAGAAGCAGCCACCAUUUAAAGAGUGCGUAAUAGCUCACUAGUCGAGUGACCCUGCGCCGAAAAUGUACCGGGGCUAAACAUAUUACCGAAGCUGUGGAGUACACCUUUAGGUGUAUUGGUAGGAGAGCGUUCUAAGGGCGUCGAAGGCAGAUCGUGAGGACUGCUGGAGCGCUUAGAAGUGAGAAUGCCGGUAUGAGUAGCGAAAGACAGGUGAGAAUCCUGUCCACCGAAUGACUAAGGUUUCCUGGGGAAGGCUCGUCCGCCCAGGGUUAGUCGGGACCUAAGCCGAGGCCGAUAGGCGUAGGCGAUGGAUAACAGGUUGAUAUUCCUGUACCCGUUGUUUUUGUUUGAGCAAUGGAGGGACGCAGGAGGCUAAGGAAUGCAGACGAUCGGAAAUGUCUGUCCAAGCAGUAAGUCUGAAGAGGAGUCAAAUGCUUCUUUUCUUAAGGACAAGCUGUGAUGGGGAGGAAAUAAUAGUACCGAAGUUCCUGAUGU
rnacentral:rRNA from 1 species